UUUAAGAUUCUACACCACCUCCAUCUCCAUUCUAACGAGCCAUCUAAAUCUGUAAAACCUCUUCUCUCCCGUCUCCAACCCCUCCACCCACCGCGGCGAAUCUGCCCCACCGUGCCCGUCGUCUCCAUCCCUCCACGGCUCCACCUCUUCUCUCCCGUCUCCAUCCCUCCACCCACCGCUGCGAGCUGCCUAUGACCCCCACCGCGAUUCACCGCGCCGGCACCCAUCCUCUUUUCUCCCGUCUCCAACCCUCCACCCACCGCCGUAAUCUGCCCAACCGUGCCCAGCCCCGCCCAACGCCGCGAUCUGCCUCGCCGUCUCCUUCCCUCCACCCACCGUGCCUGGCCCCCGCAGCGAUUUGCCCCACCGCGCCCCGCCCCUCCCACCGCCAUGAUCUGCUUCGCCAAUUCUUCCUUCCCCCCACCGCAAUUCGUCGUCCAGCCUCAAGUGACUCUCUCAUUCCCCUGCCGCGGCGAUUUGAAAGCACCCUCAUCGAUUCUCUUGACCUUCUCCUCCCCCUCAUCGAUUCUCUGACCUUCCCCUCCCCGCCGCCAUCAGCCAUGGAAACAAAUUGAAUGUGUUAGUCAACCAUGGAUUCGCCUCGCUGGCACCCACCACGAAUCGCCGCGCCCCUAGAUCCCAAAAUCCUCACCGCCGAUCUGCCCCUCCCACCACAGAAAUCGAUUUGCCACCUCCCUUCCUCCAUAUGGACUUUCUUUGUUUCUUAGUCUUUGCCUGUUUCUGGAUCCAACCGUCGAAAAUUGAUUCCAGCUUCCAAUGAAUCCAUCUGCCCCGACUUCCAAUGGUGAUAAGUAUGUAAAUGGAGUGAUAAUUCCCUGCCAGUACCCAACUUAUCAACUAAAGCAGGCUUGAAGUUUGAAAUUUAAGAGCAAAGCUUAUGUAAGAAAGAGAGAUGGCCUUCCUGUUGAAUCUGCUUGCUAAUGAACUCUGACGAGGUUGCAAAUUGCUAUAUGCGGAUGUUGUUUCCCGUUGUUCUAGGUUGCAAAUUGCUAUGCGGGGAUGUUGUUCUGGCAUUUAUAGCUUGGAUUGGAGCUUAGUUUUCAUAAGAUGAGAGCUUUGUUUAAGUUAUGAAUGUAAGGUUGAAUAAACUUAUUGUGUUGUCAGUUAUGUUUGAAUGUAAUGUUGGAUGAAUAAUAUUUGAAUGUGAUGUUGGAUGAACAAUGUUUGAGUUAAUGUAAGACUUUUAGUAUUAAUGUAUGUAUUUUCAGUUUUC